CCUACGGGCGGCAGCGGUGGGGAAUAUUGGACAAUGGGGGCAACCCUGAUCCAGCCAUGCCGCGUGUGUGAAGAAGGCCCUCGGGUUGUAAAGCACUUUCAGUGAGGAAGAACGCCUGGUGGUUAAUACCCAUCAGGAAAGACAUCACUCACAGAAGAAGCACCGGCUAACUCCGUGCCAGCAGCCGCGGUAAUACGGAGGGUGCGAGCGUUAAUCGGAAUUACUGGGCGUAAAGCGCGCGUAGGUGGCUUGAUAAGCCGGUUGUGAAAGCCCCGGGCUCAACCUGGGAACGGCAUCCGGAACUGUCAAGCUAGAGUGCAGGAGAGGAAGGUAGAAUUCCCGGUGUAGCGGUGAAAUGCGUAGAGAUCGGGAGGAAUACCAGUGGCGAAGGCGGCCUUCUGGACUGACACUGACACUGAGGUGCGAAAGCGUGGGUAGCAAACAGGAUUAGAUACCCGUGUAGUC
rnacentral:rRNA from 1 species